UCCAGGCCUGCUGGAUUCAAAACACCUCUGGUUGGUUCCUGCAUCCAGCUGUCAGCGAUUCUGCCUUUGGACCUCUCCAGGAUUCCCACUUACCUCCGAUCUGGCGAGCCGCAUCACUGCAUAGAAGGCGAGAAUCAGCAGCGUGAGCAGCAGGUCUUCAGGGUGAUGACUCCUUAAAGAAAGCCAACAUGAGCCUUAUUAUAAACUGGCAACUAGAGGAAAGAGACACUGAUAUAUGAAAUUUUUAUAAUUUCUUUAAAAUGUUGAGAGCUAUCACUAAAGUCUUGCUCCAAAAGCCCACCAGAAGCAUUUCCAUUGCUAAAUUAACUAAUGUGCUGUAUUUACUGAAGUAAUUAAAAAUGAAAAAGAUCCAGCAGGAUUCUUUCCUGUUCACUGAGAAGUAAACAGAAUGGAGUUAAUUUGCACAGAAACCAGCAAGAGCAUAGAAAAUAUAAGUCUGCAUAACACACUGUAGUGUACACCGAAGGUUCAGGUACUGUGCCUGGGAACAAGUGUUCUAAUCUGUCUGUGGAGAAGCUGAACAGUUUUAUCAUGAACCCAGUGACAGCUUUUUCCAAGCGUCAGUGAAAAUGGAAUACAUUGGAUGUCCCUGCAAGUUGUUAAAUUAUAAUUCAGUAAAUUUUAUAUUCUACUACCUUUGAAAUGUAAAGUGGGGGCACCUACCCUGGUGAGUAUUUCAAUAUUCACAUGCCUUUGGGUACUGUCUGAUUUAAAUAAUGAAUCAAAUUGUGGUUCAGUGCACAGUU